rnacentral:rRNA from 1 species
UACAGAGGUCUCAAGCGUUGUUCGGAAUCACUGGGCGUAAAGGGGUGCGUAGGCGGCGCGGUAAGUCAGGUGUGAAAGCCCGGAGCUCAACUCCGGAACUGCACCCGAUACUGCCGCGCUUGAGGACUGGAGAGGAGUCUGGAAUUCACAGUGGAGCAGUGAAAUGCGUAGAUAUUGUGAGGAACACUAGUGGCGAAGGCGAGACUCUGGACAGUUCCUGACGCUGAGGCACGAAGGCCAGGGGAGCAAACGGG